AGCAGCCGCGGUAAUUCCAGCUCCAAUAGCGUAUAUUAAAGUUGUUGCAGUUAAAAGCUCGUAGUUGAAUUUCGGGAUCAAUAUGUCGGUCGUGCCUUCGGUACGUACUGGUAUCAUUGGUCUCUCCUUUCUGACGAACCAUGAUGUCAUUAAUUUGGUGUUAUGGGGAGUUAGGACUGUUACUUUGAAAGAAUUAGAGUGUUUAAAGCAGGCUUUAGCUUGAAUACAUUAGCAUGGAAUAAUGAAAUAGGACGUUCGAACCUAUUUUGUUGGUUUCUAGGAUCAACGUAAUGAUUAAUAGGGAUAGUUGGGGGCAUUAGUAUUCAAUUGUCAGAGGUGAAAUUCUUGGAUUUAUUGAAGACUAACUACUGCGAAAGCAUUUGCCAAGGAUGUUUUCAUUAAUCAAGAACGAAAGUUAGGGAUCGAAGACGAUCAGAUACCGUCGUAGUCU
rnacentral:misc_RNA from 1 species